CCACUGCACUCCAGCCUGGGUGACAGAGUGAGAUUCUGUCUCAAAAAAAAAAAAAGUUAAUUGCUUUUGAAGUCAUCACCCUUGAUUCCAGAAGACUGUUGUUAGAGGGUGAUUAAUUUUGUUUGUUUGCUUACUUCUGAAGCAUUUCUUUGAACUUGAUCUGUGGGAGUCUAAUCCUGUUAACCUUUGGAGUUCUUUAACCACAAAUUUCCAGCCACUUUCUGGAUCAGAGCAGUUACAGUGUAUAAGAUGAGGGAAACCCAGUUUUCCAGCCAAGUGAACUCCAUAGGAUUCUGCAAUACAUAGAAAUAUCCAACAUUCCUCUUCCUCAAAGAUAAGAGAAACCGCUGGGGCCCAUUUCUCUCAGCCCAUCCAGAGGUUAUCUGGGAUGUUUAGGAAAUCUGUGUAUUCUCCAACACUUAGGGAGACUUCACAAAACUUUGCAAUGUGGUCUUAUACAUUGCAGAGAAAUGUGCUUUCUAUCCAGGGCAUAGAAAGCACAGUUAUCUUAUAAUAUUCCUGUAAAAUGGUUGCUGAGGGGAUGUUUAAUGUUGUUACACAGGAAACUGUGCUGAGUAGGGGCUUUUGUUUUCAGAUGAGACUCUGGACAGGAAGUGAAUCUUCACAAGGAAGGAAGCAACAAAAUUCUACCUUGGCUUUUGCUGGCUGAGCAGGGAAAGGCCUGUAGACACAGGGCAUUUUGGGCAAGAGCUGGAACAGCCCUCCCUGGAGCAGCCCUCCCUGGAGGACUACAUAAAGCAGCCAGUAUUUUGCAAAGCAUAGGGAAGAGUGAAAGUCAUCAGGGCAUUUGCAAACACAAAACAGCCCUGAAGCGAAACACCAGCAUGUACUGGGCAGGACUUGGGAGAUAAGACAGGACAUCCGAAGCUAAACAUGGAUCCCCUCUGAAAGCUACAAUCAAAUUGUCAUCCACACAAUCUUAUCUCAAGCCUUGACUAGAGAAGGACCUACUUCCAAGAUUACAUCGUUGAAUGAAUUCAGUCCUUGCAGCCCGUUGAACUGCUGGCCUCCCCAACAUACUCGCCUGCUUCAUUGAAGUCUGCAAGACAGAGAGAGAGAGAGUCCACUAACAAGAGAACACCACAGUCUUAUCUAAUGUAAUCACUGAAGUGGCAUCCUGUCACGUUGGUCACCUUUUCUAUCCCGUUCAUUAUAAAUGAGUCCCAAGUCCUGCCACACUCAAGUGGAGGGGAUUACACACGGCUGGAGUAUCAGAGGUGGGGAUAAUUGGGGGUAAUCUUGGAGUUCUUCCAUCACACAGGAAUUCUCAGCUGACCAAAUCUGGGAUUCUGCAUCUGGCUAUUCCUGAAGCUGGAGGGCUGGCAUAUUUUUCAGUGUCCAUUUGGAUCAGCUGAUAAACCCAGGGUUUGUCUGCUGGCUGGAGGAGUAAAAACUAUAAGGCUAAUUGAAAUGAAUCUACUUAAAACAGUGACCUGAUUUAUCUAAUAAUUACUAGAAGGUAAGGGUUGAUUGAGACUUUAAAAUAAAACCAAAAAUUAUU